UGAGCUCCUCUACGAAGCUUAACAAAGAUGAGUAAGAUAAAUGUUCUAAUAUAAAAUUAUAUAGGUCAAUGAUUGCCUCAUUGCUUUAUCUUACUGCAAGUAAACCCGAUAAUAUGUUUAGUGUUUGCUUGUGUGCUAGGUAUCAAUCUUAUCCUAAGGAAUCACAUUUACAAGCCAUUAAGAGAACUUUUAGAUACCUUAGAGACACUUCUAAUUUAGACCUUUGGUAUCCUACAGACUCUUCAUUUAGCUUGUAUGCCUUUUCGGAUGCGGAUUUUAGAGGUUGCAAAAUAGAUAGGAAAAUCACCUCCUGUACUUGUCAAUUCCUAGGUAACAUGCUCGUAUCAUGGUUUUCAAAGAAACAAAAUAGCAUUGCAUUUUCCACCAUCGAAGCAGAAUACAUUUCUGCCAAUAGUUGUUGAACUGAAGUUUUAUGGAUGAAACAACUACUCAUGGACUAUGGAAUUGAUGUAAAUACCAUUCCUAUCAAGUGACAAUAUUAGUGCUAUUUGUUUCACUAAAAAUCUCAUCCAAUAUUCUAGAACUAAGCAUAUUGAAAUUAGGCAUCAUUUCAUUAGAGAUCAUAUCCAAAAAAGAGAUGUAGUUCUAGAAUUUGUUGACACUUUGAAUCAAUUAGUUGACAUUUUUACUAGACCAUUAGAUAAGAAAAGAUUUUGGACACAUAGGACGGAACUAGGUAUUACUACCUUGCAUUGGUUUUGUGUUCAAACAAAUUUAUGCACUUUUUUUAUUUUCAAAUGUUUUAUGACUUAAAAUUGAUUGCAAAAGUAUAUAUGCAUUUGGAGGGAUGUGCUUUGUUGCCUUAGUGAAAUAGUUAGGAUACAAUUGACAUGUCUACAGGUAAUAUAAGUGUACCUGGAGUUCUAUUACCUUCGGGCUUAGAACUUCGAUGCUCUUGGAUGCAUUUGGAGGGAUGUGCUCUGUUUCCUUUGGGCUUAACAUUUCAGUGCUCUUUGGUGUGUUCAAUGGCUUGGCACUUUGGUGCCCCUUGGUGUGUUUAGGGGAGAUCAAUUUGGUACCUAACACUUUAACAGCUCGAUUUAGACCCUAUUCAGAAUGGUGGUUUCGAGACCACGAAUUCGAGUCAGAAAAAUAUUUUAAAAAUUAUUUUCUGUGUUUAUUAUGUGUGAACUUAUAUGUGUUAAUUUUUCGUGUUUUAAUUUUACUGUUUGGAUGCCGAUUUAAUAAAAGGGCUUAAUCGCGUAAAGUGAAAAGUUGAUAGUUUAAUGUGAGAGUGCUUAAUUGAAUUUGUCUUUAUAAUAUGAUGCAUUUAUAAUGCAAUUUGACCAUAGUUGAAAUGGAUGGAUGGUUUUGGUAUUAAAUAGCAUGGUUUUAUAUUAUUUUAUAAGGUUAAAAAUGUAAAUGAUGUAUUAAUAUGUUAUUAUAAUAAAACAAACAAAAAAAUGACCAUGCAUUUUAGUUUAUAGUUGGCCAAAAAAACCAAAAGAAAUAAAAAGAAAAACAAAGCCACAUUCGGCCAUUAACAAGCUUGAUUCAAGGUGAGUUUUAGCUCGGUUUUUGAUAAUUUUUACGUUUUUGAGAUCGUUGCUAUGUUAUCUAUCAAACCCAUGUCUCAAUUUUUGAAUUUGAUGAUGUUUUUGUAUUUUUCCAUUGUUGAAAGCUUGUGAUUUUUGUUGUUUGAUGCUAGAAAAUAAAAGAUAUGUGAUAGAUUAACAUGUUUUGUAUUUGAAGUUUUGAUGAAUUUGAGUAAUUAGGGCUAAUUUGUAAAAAUAAUAAAUUGAGAGACUAAAAUAUAAAAUAAAUAAAAUAUAUGGACUUGUAUGAACAUGGGUAGUAUUCGGACUAAGCAUGAUGUGUGCAAACUUUGCAUGCUUUGUGUUUUGUGCAAUUUGGACUAAGUUAUAAAAAGUGUAAAAUAUCAGGGGUAAAAUAGUAAUUUUCCCAUUUAUGUGUUUUUGGACUAAAUUGGGUGAAAUUAUGUUUGAAUGAGUUUAACUUGAAUAUGUUUAGAUUAAGAACUAAAGAAAUCGAAUUCAGAAUCGGGGGAAAACCAAAGUUGUUGAUUAGUCGUCCCGUUCCGAUUAUCGUUGUCCGAUGUAAGUUUAUAAGCAAAUAAAUGCUGUAAAAUUUUGAAUAUAUGUGAAUGUAGAAUGCUGAUUUAAAUUUUAUGAGCUUGUAUAUAUGAUAACCGAAUAUGUUUGUACUUGGGAACUAUGUUUACAAGUUCGUUUCGACAGAGUUACGACGUCUGAAAACCCCUAUGAACCUUAGGAAUAGCUAGGGUACAUAUGUCAUGACAUAGGAUUCUGAUAUGUGAUGUGCCAGCAAGACCAUGACAUCGAUAUAUGUGUGCGAGUAAGACCACGUUUAAUACGUUGGCAUCGAUAUGUGACUUUGAUUUAUGUGUGCGAGUAAGACCACGUUUAAUACGUUGGCAUCAAUAUGUGAAUCUGAUAUAUGUGUGUGAGUAAGACCCCGUCUAGGACAGUAGCAUCGAUAUGUGAUUACAUGUAAGACCACGUCUGGGACGUGGGCAUUGUACGAUAUAUGUGAUUAUCUGAGUAUCCUAUUCAAUUUUGAAUGGUUCAACGGGCAAUGAUAAAUUGUGAUCAAAUGUGUAAAACGAGCUAAAGUGAUCAGGUAUGUGCUAGCUUAUUAUCUAUUUGAAAUAAGGUAAGUAGGUUACUUAAUAUAUGUUGCAAAUUAUGUAUGAUAUAAAUGAAAAAUGUACAAGCAUAUGGAAAGUAUAUUCAGCCUUUUGAUUAUAUAAUGUGAAUAUUUAUGUAAUGAUUCAUGAAUAUAUAUAUAUAUGAGUUUAUGUAUAUUCAGUUAUAUAAUGGUAUUAUGGUUUUGAAAUUAAAUGUUACUUUAAUAAUAGAUACAUGUAUAUUCGGACAGGGUAAAACUUGUAUAUGGAAGUAUAUGUUAUAUAUGAAAUUAUGAUUUUGAAAAUAAAUGUGAUUAUGAUGGUAUAAAUUAGUUUGGUUAAGUUGAGUUGAUAUUAACAUUGAGUUAUUUAUUUGCUUAUGACUUACUAAGCUAUGAUAGCUUACUAUGUGUGUGUUUUUGUUUGCCUCUGUUUUAUAGAUUUUGGAAUCUAGUUACGAGCUCGGGAAUCGUCAACAAAGUCUAUCACACUAUCGACUGUUUCGGUAUUUUUAUAAAUUGAAUUCAAAUUUAUGGCAUGUAUAGGCUAGUUUAUAUAUUUGAUUUCGGGGUAUGUAAAUACGAGCCAUGCAAAAAUGGCUUGUUUAUUUUGUUAAUUUUGGUUUCAAGGUUUGAA
rnacentral:lncRNA from 1 species